UAUCUCCUGGGGUGCCCGCCAGUUGGUGAUCGUCCCUGAGCCGUUAUAAACGCCAAAGGAAGGCCACCCCGGACUCCAUGUGCACGCCUGACACCGCUAGCGGUUGAUCGGGAAGCCUGCGAAUCGGGCGAGUCUUCCGCCUUGAACCUCGACGGUUCAGGGCCAAACUGACAGCGUCAUACUCGGGAGAUCC
rnacentral:other from 1 species